AUACUGGUGGCGAACGGCGCACGGGUGCGUGACACGUAUACAAUCUGCCUCUAACAGGGGGAUAGCCCGGAGAAAUCCGGAUUAAUACCCCAUAACAUCCCGCACGGCAUCGUUCGGGAUUAAAAGCUACGGCGGUUAGAGAUGAGUAUGCGUCUGAUUAGCUAGUAGGUGAGGUAACGGCUCACCUAGGCGACGAUCAGUAGGGGUACUGAGAGGUUACACCCCCACACGGAUACUGAGACACGGAUCCGACUCCUACGGGAGGCAGCAGUAAGGAAUAUUGGACAAUGCCCGCAAGGGUGAUCCAGCCAUGCCGCGUGCAGGAAGACGGCCCUAUGGGUUGUAAACUGCUUUUGCACCAGGGAAAACCCCCUUUCGUGAAAGGGGCUGAUAGUAUGGUGAGAAUAAGCAUCGGCUAACUUCGUGCCAGCAGCCGCGGUAAGACGAAGGAUGCAAGCGUUAUCCGGAUUCAUUGGGUUUAAAGGGAGCGUAGGUGGUUUGGUAAGUCAGUGGUGAAAGCCUCUCGCUUAACGAGAGAACUGCCAUUGAUACUGCCGGACUUGAGUACAGAUGCUGUGGGCGGAAUAUGACAUGUAGUGGUGAAAUACAUAGAGAUGUCAUAGAACACCGAUUGCGAAGGCAGCUCACAAAACUGUAACUGACACUGAGGCUCGAAAGUGCGGGGAUCAAACAGGAUUAGAUACCCUGGUAGUCCGCACUGUAAACGAUGAUUACUCGCUGCUGGGAGGUAACUUUCAGUGGCUUAGCGAAAGCGAUAAGUAAUCCACCUGGGGAGUACGCCGGCAACGGUGAAACUCAAAGGAAUUGACGGGGGCCCGCACAAGCGGAGGAGCAUGUGGUUUAAUUCGAUGAUACGCGAGGAACCUUACCAGGGCUUGAAAGUUAGUGACCGCUCCUGAAAGGGAGCUUUCCGCAAGGACACGAAACUAGGUGCUGCAUGGCUGUCGUCAGCUCGUGCCGUGAGGUGUUGGGUUAAGUCCCGCAACGAGCGCAACCCCUACCAUUAGUUGCCAUCAGGUAAAGCUGGGGACUCUAAUGGAACUGCCCGCGCAAGCGGAGAGGAAGGUGGGGAUGACGUCAAGUCAUCACGGCCCUUACGUCCUGGGCUACACA
rnacentral:rRNA from 1 species